rnacentral:misc_RNA from 1 species
GUCCUCUUGAAGUAGCAGCCAGAGGCUCUCUCUCUCUCCUCUUUUCAUCUAAUUUCUUCUACAAUUCUUGAAGAUAUACUUCUCUUAUGGCUAGCUUCUCUUGAACCCGUCUUUUUUAUCACUUCAUACUUAUCAUUUGUGUAUUAAUUCUUGGUUUGUUUGCUCUUAAAUUGUAUGAUCUCAAAUUUCUCUUUUGAUUUAGAUAGAUAUGAGUGACACAAUGAGGCCAAGGAUAAAGGUUAGGUUUCACUUAGUUUAUGAUAGGGGAUAAUUGAUCAAUUAACCCAAAUCCUUAUUAUCUAUCAAGUUAUCUUUUCUUUUUGGCCUUUUUAAUUAUCAUUAUUGAAUCUUUUUGUUUAGGGGAAGGUGUUGUGUG